ensembl:lncRNA
GCCUGAGUCAUUCAAGUGCAUACAAACACAAUUCCUUGAUGAUAAGGUCUGCUCUGCUCCCUGCAAAUACAGAGAACUGCUUCCCAGCCUGGAAUAUAAGUUGCUGUCUUCAAGACUACUGCAAAAUCGGGGAGGCCUGUGGAGCAAUGGUUGCUAAGCCAUGGGGCCAUAAGCUGGUACCUCUGCAGAUCAUUAAGUAGAGAAGCCAAGAAAUGGAGCCUGAAGCUAAGAAUGAACCCCAAACAGAGAAAAUCAGAGAAACUAAACAAAAAAGAAAGACAAGAGAAAGAGAGAAUAAGAGAAUGAUUCCUGACCAUGCAAAUGGUACAUAACGGGACAAUUCUCUGAUGUGGCAAAGAGCUGAGAAAUCAUUCACAGUGGAUCUCUCUGGGGAGAGAAGUUGGCACUGCAGAAGUCUGACCUUCUGUUCUCGUAUGCAUCCAUGGCAGUUGAAUGUGGUGGGAGAGAAAUACACAACCAUGCUGUCUGGUCUCACUCUAAAUUCAUGAUAAUCAAUCUCUAGAGGAACUUUGGUGCUUCCUAGCAAUUCUACUACCUGUGUCUCAUCCAUUCAAUCUUCUUUAUUCCAAGUUUCCUCUAACGUCUUAAGAGUGGAAAACCAGCAGUGGGAGUGAAGAGCCAGAGAAAGGGUUGAGACUCAUCGUGCCAUGGGGAAAAAGCCGUGAUUCGCCAUAUGUCAGAGACUUAGAAAGAAGCUGUACUCCUUUUGCCAGGAUGUAACUGAACAAAUUGACUGUGCAACCAAGGCCUUCCCUGGCGUUCCAACUUUGAGGAUAACUUGCAUUGAAUCAGGUGAACCGAGAACAGUCUGUACAGACAGAGGCAAAUGCUGGAAAAGCCCUUUCUGCAACGGGCUAAGGAAGGGAGAGUAAAUGGAAAGCAGCUAUUGCAGAACAGCUGAGAAUAUGGAGCAAAAGAGAUUAAAGAGUCAACCAGGGCAGCUGAAAGGAGGCAAGUUUGUAACUUUUGGGAAUCUCCUGGAAUCAGGGGCCGAGUGUUGCCACUGGCGUGGCAGUCUAUCAAGUAAAGACAACUGAGAAAUAUUGGAAUUGGGCCACUCUCUGCUGCAGUGGAUCCAGGAUAGGUACAGGAAUCGGAUCCCUGUGUUUGGCACUGGCCUUGCCCCUCUGUAGAUGUGCUGGAAGUCAUAACUUUGAGCUGUAUCUGUUAUUUGAUGCCAGGUUUCGAUGAAAUAAUAUUUCAAAAGGGCACAUACAUUUUUUAAAAUGCUUUAAAAAUGUAAACAAUUCAUCUGUUAAUUACUAUCUUCCAAUAUUUUCAUGUUUAUAAGUGCAAAAUAUAGAGAAUGGCUAUCUAUUUGAUCUUGGCCUAUAAACUUUUUUUUCACUUUUUAAUUUAUAUUAGGAACAACAGGGCUAAGUUAAUUUUACUUUUCCUCAAGCGGCAUUAAAAUAUGAAUCACAUUACCCUGCUUUUACAAAGAUACAAUGUAUCUUUACCAUCUCAGAUUUCGCAUCUUAUUCUUUUCUUAAAAAUAAACAAAACUGCUUUUAUUUUAAGCAACCAGUUCUGUAGGUGAUCUGCUCCACAACUGACCAUGCUUUCCUUUCAUUUUUAAAAAUAUAUGACAUAAUAUCUGGAAUCAAUUUUGGGAAAGAAAAAUUCUUUUCAUAUGCCAUUCACACAACAGAGAAAGACUUAAAUAGGUUUUAUGGUAUGUGAGAUUUCUGGAGUUUCUUUAGUUUUAUAAGAAGAUGUAUAUAUUUUCUUCAUCAUAUUGUAUUAUUUCUCAAAUAUUGUUCUGUUACUGGGGCAAAAUAUGGACAUCAAUGCCCAGAAUAAAACAUACUUAGUUUCUGCUAGAGUAAGUGAAACUAAGUAUACACUCAGUGAUAAAAUACCACUAUGCACAAAGAUAAAUUUCUUUUUUGUAUGUGUCACAAAUAAAUGUUAAAGCAGUUACUCUUCUGAAUUUAGCUAUAAAUGUUAAAAAAACUAUGUGGAUGUCCACUUAGAGUUUUUAAAACAUUUACAUACUCUCUUCUCUAACACAACCCUGAAGGGUUUUUAUUGAUUUCAGUGCUUUGCCUUGAUUCAGGAAAAACAUGCAUUUGGACUUUUCACAGGCCAAUGAAUACUAAAAAUUAACAUUUAAGGCACAUUCAAAAUGUGAAAGGC